rfam:Rattus norvegicus chromosome X, whole genome shotgun sequence.
GGGGAUUUGGCUCAGUGGUAGAGCGCUUGCCUAGGAAGCGCAAGGUCCUGGGUUCGGUCCCCAGCCCUCCCCC